GGAGAAACACAGAUCUCUAGAGGGUGGUCAAAUUUCCUCUUGACUCCAUCACAACCCCGUGUUUCCUCAUCUAUUUUCUUUAAAUUACAAGGAACCCACUUUCAAGUUUCCCCUUAAAAAAAAACUAAAAUAGAAAAAAAAAAUGGUGGUGAUGAUGCUGGUGUCGGCACUGCAGUGCUUAAUGGAUUUGGGGUUAGCUGCAAUUUCUAUGAUGAUUGGAUUUGGAAUGUUCGCUUCCAUUGCUUCAGUGCUUUGCUCCGUUGCUUUCUUGCUCCAUGCCAUUUCCAAAGAUGUCUCUUAAUCUCAUCUUUUGAAGCUCGGGUGUGAAAAAUGUUCCCAUCCUUGAACUCGCAGUUUGUUGUUCCUUGACAGCUUUGCAAUGUGGGAUGGCUUUAAUUCUGUCUAUAUGUAUCCGGUAAAAACUUCGGUAACGAAUAGUACUAUUGUUGGGUUUUGCAAUUUUCUUAUAAUAUGUUUGACAUUUUUUCUGCUCAAAUUGUGUUCCUUUUGUCUCUGCUUUCUCAAGACUUUGGUUUCUUCAU